rnacentral:rRNA from 1 species
GAUGAACGCUAGCGGCAGGCCUAACACAUGCAAGUCGAGGGGUAGCAGGAUUAAGCUUGCUUAAUUGCUGACGACCGGCGCACGGGUGCGUAACGCGUAUGCAACCUACCUUAUACUGGGGUAUAGCCCGGAGAAAUUCGGAUUAAUCCCCCAUAGUACUAACGAAUCGCAUGGUUUAUUAGUUAAAGCAUUGCGGUAUAAGAUGGGCAUGCGUCCUAUUAGCUAGAUGUUGAGGUAACGGCUCACCAUGGCUACGAUAGGUAGGGGGCCGGGGAAGGUGGUCCCCCACACUGGUACUGGGACACGGACCAGACUCCUACGGGAGGCAGCAGUGAGGAAUAUUGGUCAAUGGGCGCAAGCCUGAACCAGCCAUGCCGCGUGCAGGAAGAAUGCCCUAUGGGUUGUAAACUGCUUUUAUUUGGGAAUAAACCUCUUUACGUGUAGAGAGCUGAAGGUACCAAAUGAAUAAGCACCGGCUAACUCCGUGCCAGCCGCCGCAGUAA